rnacentral:rRNA from 1 species
GACCCGUCUUGAAACACGGACCAAGGAGUCUAACAUGUGCGCAAGUCAUUGGGUUGCAAAACCUAAAGGCGUAAUAAAAGUGAAGGUUAGCUUCCGCUAGCUAAGGUGGGAUUCUUGGCUUGACCGAGACGCACCACCGUCCCAUCGCAUCUGCUUGCCAGAGCGGUGGAGAAAGAGCGUACACGUUGGGACCCGAAAGAUGGUGAACUAUGCCUGAGCAGGAUGAAGCCAGAGGAAACUCUGGUGGAGGUCCGUAGCGGUUCUGACGUGCAAAUCGAUCGUCAGACUUGGGUAUAGGGGCGAAAGACUAAUCGAACCAUC